rnacentral:sRNA from 1 species
UUGCAUUAUAGCCGGUGAGGAUGAGAACCUCCGGGGGCAAGAGGUUCGACUCGAGCGAAGCGAGAGAACGUUGCGCCAGCAACGGCCCGCAGGGCGAGCCACGAAGUGGCGAGUAAUCCUCUAUCACCGACCA